UGGGGAAUUGUUCGCAAUGGGCGCAAGCCUGACGACGCAACGCCGCGUGGAGGAUGACGGUCUUCGGAUUGUAAACUCCUGUUGCUCGGGACGAAUGGCCUCGACCGAAUACGUCGAGGUGUGACGGUACCGAGUGAGGAAGCCCCGGCUAACUCUGUGCCAGCAGCCGCGGUAAUACAGAGGGGGCAAGCGUUGUUCGGAAUUACUGGGCGUAAAGGGCGCGUAGGCGGCCGGCUAAGUCGAACGUGAAAUCCCCGGGCUCAACCCGGGAACUGCGUCCGAUACUGGUCGGCUUGAAUUCGGGAGAGGGAUGCGGAAUUCCAGGUGUAGCGGUGAAAUGCGUAGAUAUCUGGAGGAACACCGGUGGCGAAGGCGGCAUCCUGGACCGACAUUGACGCUGAGGCGCGAAAGCCAGGGGAGCAAACGGGAUUAGAUACCCCGGUAGUCCUGGCCCUAAACGAUGAAUGCUUGGUGUAGCGGGUAUCGAUCCCUGCUGUGCCGAAGCUAACGCAUUAAGCA
rnacentral:rRNA from 1 species